CUGCAGGCAUCUCUGGAACUUCCUUUCAGUCUUAUGGCCUCAGGGAAGCUCCAUGCUGUGAGUUGGAGGGCUGUGCCUGGGCCCUGGGUUUCUCCACCCAGAGGGCUGCACCCAGUGAGGCAUGCCUUGCUUGAGGCCAAGUGUUGGAAAGUUGCUCCUGAGAUGGACAUGGGAAAUUUGGCACAGAUCAUUACCUGAGAAGUGGCAACUGCCAGGGACUCAGGUUGGUCCUGGGGGCUGUCAAAUAUUAAGCUCAUAUCUAAUGAGAUCGUGUAGAAAAGUGUGUGUGUGAUUUUGUGAUAUUUGUGCACAAAGAGGAAACAUGAAAUACCUAUGACAGUGAAUAAAUAUACUAUAAAUUCAAUUGAGAAGUGAAAGAAAAAGGCAACAAUUAUGUUGUAAUGAAAACCAAAAGUCAUAGUUUGGUAUAGAAAAUUUAUUUGGAAGGAGACAGCUUUUCUACAAUUCUGGAACAAAAUUGUACAUAAUAUAAAGAUUAUCUUUCUGGGGGUUCACUGGGGUCUGGUUUAUCACCAGGACCAAAGUGAUGCAACCUAUAAAAAAAUGUGUUUUUUUUUUUUUCUCCCUCGGUGCAGUUGCUGUGUGCAAUUUCUAGCAUCCUAAGUCACCUCUCUAAACUCAGUGUCAAUAAUGUAACCGAAGUAAAACAAAGCACAACAUAAGCAGAUGACUAAACCAGAAAGCCAGAAGCCAACAAACCUAAGCUAAAGGCAAAAGGAGAAACUGCACACAUGAGCUGCCUCUCACAGGUGCUGAGCGUUCGCAGCUCUCCUUCUCCAGCUGGAGCCAGGCGAUGCCCAGUGCUGAGCUCCUGCCUGGCUGCUCAGCCCUCCUGCAUCGCCAGGGGCUUGAGCUACCCAAAGCCACUCUGCAUCUCAGCUCAGUAUGUCCACCGUUUCCCAGAACGGUUUCUUUCAUUAGAAAUGCAGAAGAAGCUAAAAUAUCACUUGAAUCAUUCUCCUGACUCUGAAAACAGCCUCUGGAAUUGA
rnacentral:lncRNA from 1 species